rnacentral:RNase_P_RNA from 1 species
GUAGAUCGGGUGAUCGCCCUGGAUUUAUCCGGGGAGGAAAGUCCGAGCUCCACCAGGCAGAGUGCUGGCUAACAGCCAGGCGAGGUAACUCGACGGAAAGUGGCACAGAAACAUACCGCCUAAGAUUGAUUGUUGACUCUAGAUGGAGAAAAUAUUUAAUCCGGCAAGGUUGAAAUCGUGAGGUAAGAGCUCCCGGCUGACCGUGGUAACACGGCAGCGGUCAAACCCCACUUGGAGCAAGGCCUAAUAGAGGGAUUAUAGGGCGCCUGGCCUAUCCCUGGGUUGGCUGCAAGAGGCUUCGAGUAAUCGUUGUCCCAGAUAGAUGAUCACCAAUUUUCUAAGACUAUACGUAUAUCGUAUAUAAUGAGGGAAUUACAGGACUCGGCUUACAGAUCUUCCUA